AUAGCCAAAAUAUAAAGGAUUUUUAUAUUUUGUGAAGUUUAUUGUUUGAAACAUAAAAUUAAGUCAAAGACAUUUGGGAAAUUAUAUAAAUUAAACUUAAUCACAAAUAUAGAGUAUGAAAACAUGGAAACGGUUAAGAUACCGAUAAUAAAAAAAAACACAAUAUUUAAAAACAUAAAAUCCCAUUUAUUUAGAUAUUCAUGUGAAAUACAAUGUGGAACAUUCAACAACUCCAAAGUGUGACAUAACCCCUGCUCCAGUAUACUGAAAUUGAUUGAACAAUAAUUAUAUUUAAGUAUAUAUCUCCCAGUGGACACGUUAUUCCAGGGUUUGUAUUCCAUUGUGGGUUUCGUGUUGCUCAGUCUUUAGUUUUUUAUGUUGUGUUUUGUGUACUAUUGUUUGUCUGUUGGUUUUUUUUCUUUUUUAGCCAUGGCGUUGUCAGUUUAUUGUCGACUUAUCAGUUUGAAUGUCCUUCUGGUAUCUUUCGCCCCUCUUUUAUCAAUUUGAUCGUCGUAUGACAGGUUCUAUGAAAAUCACUUUGCUCUAGAUUGUAUUUUAAUAGUGAUAUAUAUUGGCCUUUGUGCCAAACAAGUUGCAUGGAUAGAAAGUGUGAUAACUGAUACUAAUCUAUGUAAAUAAUGACUAAUUACAAUCUGAUUUAUUUCAUCCUUUCGCAAAAAAGAUCAGCAUGAUAUGCGUAUAUAGUUCUCAGAAUUUCCGAUAUGGGCCUUACAUUUUUAUUGUUUUCGAUACUAUUCUAGUUAGAUAUAGCCUUGGAUCCUUGUCCAAUCUUUACUUUGCGUCGGUAGUAGUGAGCCAGGAUCCCAGCUUAAAUUAUGUUAAUAUUACCCAGGGUAUAAGCCAUGAAUCAUGGUAUUUCUACUGUAACCAAGGUAUAAGCCAUGGUAUAAGCCAUGAAUCAUGAUAUUUUUACUGUAACUCAGUUAGAUUUUCAGUACAUUUCAGCACGUUUAAUUAGUUUGGUAUUACCAUCAAGUAUUAUUAUAAUUCCAAAUUAUUGCCAUAUUAAUUAUUGUUUGAUUUAUCAGGGCUAAAUCGUACGUUGAAAACAUUCCAAUAUAGAUUGCUCCAACAAUCUAUUUAAAUGGUAAGGUAAAUUUUAAUUUCUAUAGUAAGAUUAUACCUAAAUAGAUCACUUCUAAAUUAAAUGGGGUUUCCUAUUUAUUUUUACACUAUCACUGUAUGUGACGUAAGUGUCAGCUGAUAACGAGAGACUAUAAAACCAAUGAUCAACUAUUGUACAGUCCUUUUUAUCUCAUUUGUGCGUUCUGAACAGGUUGUGUAAGAUUAUGCACUCGGAACUCCUUGGACUUAUUCGAUACCAUUUCCAACAUAUACUUGUGACCAAGAUAAAAAGCUGAAAUGUUCCGAAAAAUAUCUGAAAGAAAAUAUAGAUUCUAUGGCAACGACUUUCAUGUGGGGUAUCUAGUGCUACAAAAGUCUAUGAUGAAAGGAAGUCCGAAAAAUAGUACACUAGAACUACUGCUGCUGCCCUAUUAAAGUUGUUACGGUGUAAAAAAAACAUCAUUACCUUGAUAUAGUGACGAAACAACAAGUUUCUGCCUGCUAAACUGGUAUAUGGUGGAUUGUGUAAUGCGUUGCAGGGGAAAUUGAAUGCACUUAGUUAUUCUUCGUUUCAAUGCAGGUUUGGAACAAACCAUUUUUACAUUCAGAUGUGAAAAGAUGGGAAAUGUAUAUCUUUGAUAGAGAAAUGUGACAUAAAAUAUCUUGAUUGAUAAAAAAAUAAUUGUUACUCAGAUUCUGUUUUCUUGAAUGUUUCCAUUCAUCACUCAAAAAUAAAAUAAAUGAACAAUCAAAUUUAUCUUUUUCAAUAAAGUCCUGU